rnacentral:rRNA from 1 species
UCUUACGGCCAUACCACCCUCGAGCGCGCCCGAUCUCGUCUGAUCUCGGAAGCUAAGCAGGGUCGGGCCUGGUUAGUACUUGGAUGGGAGACCGCCUGGGAAUACCAGGUGCUGUAAGCU